rnacentral:rRNA from 1 species
CUCCUGGGAAGUCCUCGUGUUGCGCCCGGGUGCGAUCAUACCCACACUAAUGAACCGGA